rnacentral:rRNA from 1 species
GACGAACGCUGGCGGCGCGCCUAAUACAUGCAAGUCGAACGCUUCUUUCCUCCCGAGUGCUUGCACUCAAUUGGAAAGAGGAGUGGCGGACGGGUGAGUAACACGUGGGUAACCUACCCAUCAGAGGGGGAUAACACUUGGAAACAGGUGCUAAUACCGCAUAACAGUUUAUGCCGCAUGGCAUAAGAGUGAAAGGCGCUUUCGGGUGUCGCUGAUGGAUGGACCCGCGGUGCAUUAGCUAGUUAGUGAGGUAACGGCUCACCAAGGCCACGAUGCAUAGCCGACCUGAGAGGGUGAUCGGCCACACUGGGACUGAGACACGGCCCAGACUCCUACGGGAGGCAGCAGUAGGGAAUCUUCGGCAAUGGACGAAAGUCUGACCGAGCAACGCCGCGUGAGUGAAGAAGGUUUUCGGAUCGUAAAACUCUGUUGUUAGAGAAGAACAAGGACGUUAGUAACUGAACGUCCCCUGACGGUAUCUAACCAGAAAGCCACGGCUAACUACGUG